AGGUUAUUUUAAAGAGGGCUCAUGGGACCACGAAACCAAGAGCUCUUAAUGCUGUGACCAAAGACUGAAGUUCUCUAUAGGUUGCCAAGGCACUCAGUGGUGCUAUGUUUUCCUGAGGAGAUGUAAGA
ensembl:snoRNA